ensembl:lncRNA
GGACAACUCAAAAGGAGCCUUUUCAUACUGCACAUGGGAGUCUCUCGGCGAGAACACUGGCGUGGUUUGCCAUUCCCUCCUCCACCGGACCACGUUCUGUCAGGUAGUUAGGGAACAUCACCCACUCAAUGGAUAGGAGUUUGAGAAAACUCCGGAGAUAGUUAAGCGACUUGGCAGCCUGAUGUGCUACGGGCCGCCGGGUCGCAGAGUCGUACACGACUUAGCGACUGUACAACAAGGAGCCUUUAGAGACAAGCUCGUCGGCGCUCUGGACUUUAACUUCCUCAUCUGUAAAAUGGAGCAGCCAUCGCCUGCAGGAGGAAUACAAGGAAUAAUAAUAUUUGUCCUUUACUGCGUGUGAUAUAGGCACUGUUCUAAACUCUUCAUAUGAAUUAACUCCUCACUGCAGGCCUAUGAGAGGCAAACUGCCAGAGCCCAAGAUUUGGGUGAGCAUUUUCUUAGAAGAUGACCCCCUGGGCGCACCUCUGCUUCUUCCUGAAUUCUACAAUUUUCAAUAAAGUAAACAGUCAUCAUAGAAGUUUACAAUCGUUGUUUCCAGAGCUGAAAACAGUUUAAAUGUGGACAUGUUGGUCUGCUGUGGAUGGUGUUAGAAGAAGCAUCUGAGUCAGAGUCCCAUUACUGCUUUGUCAAAACAGUAUCUUCUGGAUUUUUCACAUUCUUACACUAUUAAAUUCAAAAGAGAAAACCCUUGAAGUCUUCUUUUAUUCAUCUAACAAAUAUUUAUUGUUUGCCUGUUAUGUCCCAAGGACUGUCCUAUUUUCUAGAGAUACAACAAUGAACAGAUAAAAUUCAUGGAGGUUGUUGUUCAGUCGCCAAGUUGUGUCUCACUCUUUGCGACUCCGUGGCCUGCAGCGUGCCAAGCUCCUCUGUCCUCCACUAUCUCCUGGAGUUUGCUCAAAUUCAUGGACAGGGUUU